ACCGGCAAUAAAUUGCCGGGCUAUUCUCAGUUGUCCCUGCGGGACU
rfam:Desulfobacteraceae bacterium IS3 Ga0073107_11351, whole genome shotgun sequence.